rnacentral:tRNA from 1 species
CGGAGUGUAGCGCAGCCUGGUAGCGCACCUCGUUCGGGACGAGGGGGGGGUCGGAGGUUCGAAUCCUCUCACUCCGA